ACUAGAUUUAUCAGAUAGCGGGAUGGGAACAAAUCCUAAACUUUACUUCUGUCCCUGUCCUCGUUCACACACCCUGUGGAGCAAGACAGGCUUUCAGGGCUUUUCUAUGUAUGAAUUUUUAAUCCUUUUAAUUGCUUUCAGAAAUGGAUCAUCUAGACAUCUUACCAACUUUUUUCCUGGAGCCAGUAGUACACAGCAUCUGCUCUGAUUGUGGGCACUCAGGACGGCUGCAGGGUGUCGUGUCCUUGGAUUUGGGAGCUUGGAAGCCACAGCAGCUGCACGGGAGUGAUACUUUCCUGUGACAUUCCCUGGCUGUCUGCUCAACAUGCCCUCUUGUUCAGAAACAUCUGCACUAACUGAAACAUCCCUCACAGUGAGAAAAGGAUCAAACAUGAGCCUGGUGCUUCCCGGACACAUGGUUUCUUUGAGGACCUGUGGUGGUGAGCAUUAACUGCAAUGGGCAUCUCAGUACAGAUAACAGAGUCCCAGAGUCCUGUGACCAAGCCUAUACAAGUUACGAUUGCUCUGCAUGGAUUCCAGAAACAACACGAACUUUUACCAGUAAAGCAGUAACUAUGGAUUCUAACAGCAAACAGAACAGAUCAGCUUUGCCAGGAGAAAUUUAUUAUACGCUGGCUUAGAUUGGUCUUCUGUUAGUGCUUCCCAAAACAGUAAGAGGCAAUAAAUAGUAAGGAGUGCUAAACUAUUGUUAUCACCAGAUACGUGUGUGCAUUUUAAGUCCAAAGCUGCUGAUUCAUGUAUGUCAAGUAAUUGACAGAUGGAAGUGUUUAUGGUAGUGAAUUGUCAGACCCCUGUGUAUUGCAGUUUGCACCCUGUUUGCACUCAAAGAGCAAUGCUUCUCCCAUAGGCCAUAGUGAGCAGUUGCAUAAAGGAGGGGAAUGCGUGUGCUCAUCUUUGGCUUCUAGGACUAAUAACAGAUCUGAGUACCAGAUAGUUGGUAAAAAAUCUUUUAAGUUGCAAAAUCACAUAAGCUUCGUAACGUUCUCUAAAUGUAUAUUGCAGUUUUGGGUACGUUAAAGGUACUCAACUAUCUAUACCGCCUACAGGAACCUUCCAAUAGAUCCUUAUGACUGAUUUUAUGUGGAAUGCAGUUAAUGUUGCAGUAUUGUCCACAACAAUGUAGAUCUAGUCAACAGUAAAAAGAUUCCAGCAAUAAACAGGCCUUGUGUGUAAUCCAACCUCUAGCUUUUCAGUUCCCACAUGCACAGGGAAAUUGCGGUGACUCCAGGCUCCAGGUGGAUGACCACUGCUGAAGGUCAGUCAGAUCCAUGGCCUCUGCACCUUUCAGAUACACAUGCAAGGAAUGAUUUGUCACACGGAAACUCUGAGUUGCAAGGAAAGGAAAGUUGAUGAAGAAGGUAAAGGGAGCCGUUCAUUCCCCUGUUUCCUUACCGUGCACACAACUGAGAAAGAACAGGUGGGCUUUCCCCACUGAAGGCUUCUCCAGUGAAGCUGUGAUUCUGCUGCUGUGAUGCUGGGCACUCAGGGUGCUUGGAUGGAGCAGUGGGGGCAGCAUCAUUUCUUCCUUAACAUGCAUCUGUCCAGUGCAAUGGGAGUGGAGCCAUGGACAGGCCACUGCCUUCACCUGGGGCUCACACAAAGAUCUAGCAGCAAACCCUGGAGGAGAACUGUGCCUUUGGGUAUCAGCCUCUAGAGACCCUGCACACUGUGUUCUGCCCUGAAGCUGUCUGCCUGCUCUGCCUGCUCUGCCUCUUCUUUGUGAAUCAAGCUUCCUGACACCUGCACUCCAAGGCAUCUCUUCCCCUGACUCUGUUUAUGGAUGGGACCCCAGGAGUUCCUCACUCAGAAAGGACAUCCCCCUGGGAAAAAUCCAAGGCCAUCCCAUGUAUGUCUCAGAUGCUCUUUGUACUGAUUUCAUUUCCUUUGGAUGUAUUCCCAAAUGUAGGGUUGCCAGUAAAGGAUGACAAUAUUUUUCUGUAUUUAGAGAAACUGCCCCACCAUUUUCCAUGUUGCCAGUUCUCAUUCAUUGCCAUUUCCAUUCUCAAAUUGUAAAUUUCUGUGACAUUAGGUAUAACAAGCUUUAGUUGUGAAAUGGAAAGCAUGAAAAACAAAGGAAUAAGAAUAUUAACUGUAUUAAAAGCUUUUAUGUAUCAAAGGACAAUAUCAUCAUAGUGCAAAUAUGUCCUACAACAAGUGGGAAGAUGGGAAGGGGACCGGGAGCUGGAAGUAGCAAGGUUGGGUGGCGGGGUGAGGGAUGAAAAAAGAUGUGUCCCAUGCAUGUGUCAACUGCCCACCGUGAGUGUAAUCAUUAUGUACUGCAAGUGUAUACAAAUAAAAUGAAUUCCAAUAAUGGAAGAAAACU